rnacentral:rRNA from 1 species
AACGCUGGCGGCGUGCCUAACACAUGCAAGUCGAACGGGGCGAUUCCUUCGGGGAUCGCUUAGUGGCGAACGGGUGAGUAACGCGUGAGGAACCUGCCUUUCAGUGGGGGGACAACAGUUGGAAACGACUGCUAAUACCGCAUAACAUGUACGGAUCGCAUGGUCUGUACAUCAAAGCUUUAUGUGCUGAAAGAUGGCCUCGCGUCUGAUUAGCUAGUUGGUGGGGUAACGGCCCACCAAGGCGACGAUCAGUAGCCGGUCUGAGAGGAUGAACGGCCACAUUGGGACUGAGAUACGGCCCAGACUCCUACGGGAGGCAGCAGUGGGGAAUAUUGGGCCAAUGGGCGAAAGCCUGACCCAGCGACGCCGCGUGAGGGAAGAAGGUCUUCGGAUUGUAAACCUUAGUCAACAGGGAAGAAGAAAGUGACGGUACCUGUGGAGGAAGCCACGGCUAACUACGUG